ACAAAAUGUAGCUUAAUUAAAGCAUCCCGCUUACGCCGGGAAGACAUCUGUGGAACCCAGACCAUUUUGA
rnacentral:tRNA from 1 species